UUUACGAACCAUGAGACCAUGACCUGAGCCGAAAUCAAAAGUUGGACGCUUGACUGAGCCAUGCAGGUGCCUCAAGUUUGGCCCUUUUAGAUUCCACAUAUAAGGGAGAACAUACUAUGUUUGUCUUUCUCUGACUGAUUUCACUUAGCAUAAUGCCCUCAGUGUUCACCUGUGGUGUCACAAAUGUCAGGGUUUCCCUUUUUAUGGCCGAGUGAUAUUCCAUUGUGUAUGUUUGUGUGUAUGUAUGUAUAUAUCACAUUUUAUGCAUAUGUAUAUAUGUAUCACACUUUUGUUAGCCAUUCAUCUGUCAGCAGAUACCUAGGUUGUUUCCAUGCCUUGGCUGUUAGGAAUAAUGCUGCAGUGAACAUGGGGGUGCAGACAUUUCUUCAAGAUAGCGAUUCCGUUUCCUUUGGGUGUAUACAGUAGUUCUGCUGUACCUGCUGGCGAUACAGUUCGAGACCCCCCCACCCCCAAGCCCGGUGGAUGUUUGAAAUUGCAGAUGGCUAGAACCUUAUAUAUACUAUGUUUUUUUCUAGGAAUACAUUUUUCAUUUUAAUAGUGGGCAUUUUGAGAAAUAAGUCUUAAAAAUAGACCAGAAAAAUUAUCUCAGUUUGCUUUCCAAGGAAUCCCUAUGUGUUAGUCUGUCUGAAGUAUAAUAAAAUACUUCAGAUUGGAUGUCUUAACAAACAACAGAAAUUUAUUUCUCACAGUUCUGGGGGCUGGAAAGUCCCAGAUCAUAGCACUGGCACAUUUUAUGUGGUGGUUGGCUAGGACCCACUUCCUGCUUCAUAAAUGGGUGCCUUCUUGUAUCCUAACAUGGUGGAAGGGACUAGGGGUCUUUAGGGAUUUCUUGUGAAAAAGAAGAUUAAUCUCAUUCCUGAGACCUCCACUCCCAUGACCUACGCACCUCCCAAAGGCCCUGCCUCCUAAUACCAUUAUCUUUGGGGGUUAGGAUUUCAGCAUGUGAAUUUUGCAGGUUACAGACAUUCAGAUCAUAGCACCCUACAUCCAACUGUCAGCAUUCUCUUAGUUUUCUUAGUUGGGGGUGGUAGUGGUUUCACUGGUUCUCAGAGGGUGUGCCCAGAAGAGGACAAUCCUACUUGGAGCUUAGCUCAUUUUUAAAGCAUAUGGUUUUGUACUUAACUAUCAAAUAGCAACAUUCCAAGUAAUUACCAAGAGGUAGCAUCUAAACCAUAUUGUCCAUUACUUUGUUGAUAUAUGAUGGAUUGUCAUACUACUUAACAAUCGUUUUGUAUUAACCUAUCCUAAAAUCAACAGCUUGUCUGUAUUUCUGAACUCUAUCCUAUUGCUACACUGCAGAAUUGUUUUUACUGAAUUAUGCGUUAAUGUGAGACUGCUGGUCUGUUUCAUAAGAUGUAUUAAGAGAACAGUCCUGAGAAACUUACAUCUGUUUCUCCUCUGAAGAUUCAGUUGCAGUGUUUGUAUUCUGUCUUCUUGCAAAGUUAAAGAAAGAAAACUUGAGAAAAUGAAAUGCAAGUGUGGUUUGUUUCUUCACGUUAUGUUUGGUGGUGCUUACAUACUAAUACAAAAUAAAAUACUAUCUGUGUGGGAAAAAAAUCCGUCAACUUGAGCAUUGUUCAUCAAAUGUUUAGAGCUGAGCCAAUUUUAUUUGGUCCUGCCUUCUGUUAUGAACAGAUAAAUAAAAGGAAGUGUGACAGAGAUUUGAGACUUUAAAAUCUAUUAGAGACACAGAAACUACAUCAGUAUUUUGUACUUCCAAAUAAUUAAAAUGCUUGAAUUUUCCUUUUCUUUCAGUUCCUGGAAUAGAUGGAGGUGCUUUAACUGAUACAAGUCUCACAGAUUCCUAUUUCAGCACCAGCUUCAUUGGAGUCAAUGGAUUUGGAAGCCCAGUGGAAACAAAGUAUCCCUUGAUGCAGAGAGUGACUAACAGUAGCAGCUCCCCAAGCCUUCUGAAUGACAGUGCCAAGCCAUAUGCAGGCCACGAUCCUCUAACUUCACCUGCUUCAUCCUUGUUUAAUGACUUUGGUGCCCUCAACAUCUCUCAGAGAAGAAAGCCAAGGAAGUAUCGCCUGGGGAUGCUGGAGGAGAGGCUAGUUCCGAUGGGAUCAAAGGCACGAAAAGCAAAGAACCCUAUUGGCUGCCUUGCUGACAGGUGUAAAUCAGGAGUACCCAUCAAUAUGGUUUGGUGGAACAGAGUCACAGAAAACAAUUUACAGCGCCCCUUGGGGAUCUCAGCACAUCUUCAUGACUUCAGCUACUCCCUGCUCGUAGUUGACUUCCAGACACCAAAUCCUACUGCAAGCGAGUUUAUUCCUAAAGGAGGAUCAACCUCCAGGCUGAGUAACGUGUCCCAGUCAAAUAUGUCUGCCUUCUCUCAAGUUUUCUCUCACCCGUCCCUGGGAAGUCCUGCUGCUGCUGGCUUAGCACCAGGAAUGUCCUUGUCUGCCGGAUCUUCUCCUCUUCAUUCUCCCAAGAUCACUCCACAUACUUCUCCUGCGCCCAGAAGAAGAAGUCACACUCCAAAUCCAGCAAAUUACAUGGUGCCUUCUAGUGCCUCUACAUCUGUUAAUAAUCCCGUUUCUCAGACUCCAUCUUCUGGUCAGGUGAUCCAAAAGGAAACCGUCGGUGGGACGACUUACUUCUAUACAGACACAACCCCAGCACCUUUGACUGGAAUGAGAUCUUUCAAAAAUUAUCACAGAACAGCUUGCCGAACAGAAGGUCAAAUAAUUGAGGUAUUUCCAAACUACCACAUAUAUCCUCCAACUGCACCUCAUGUUGCCUACAUGCAACCAAAAGCAAAUGCACCCUCCUUCUUCAUGGCCGACGAACUCCGACAGGAGCUGAUUAACAGGCAUUUAAUAACAAUGGCUCAAAUCGACCAAGCGGAUAUGCCAGCAGUCCCUACAGAAGUUGACAGCUACCAUAGCCUGUUCCCUCUAGAACCACUGCCGCCGCCCAACCGGAUACAGAAAUCAAGUAAUUUUGGAUACAUCACAUCUUGCUACAAAGCUGUAAACAGCAAAGACGAUCUGCCGUAUUGCCUUCGGAGGAUACAUGGUUUUCGUCUCGUUAACACAAAGUGCAUGGUGUUGGUCGAUAUGUGGAAAAAAAUUCAGCACUCAAAUAUCGUAACCUUGCGUGAAGUAUUUACCACUAAAGCAUUUGCAGAGCCUUCCCUUGUGUUUGCAUAUGAUUUCCAUGCGGGAGGAGAGACUAUGAUGAGCAGACACUUCAAUGACCCUAAUGCUGAUGCCUAUUUCACAAAGAGAAAGUGGGGUCAACAUGAUGGACCAUUACCCAGACAGCAUGCCGGAUUAUUGCCAGAAUCUCUUAUUUGGGCCUAUAUUGUCCAACUGAGUUCUGCGUUGCGUACCAUUCACACAGCAGGUUUGGCGUGUCGAGUUAUGGACCCAACAAAGAUUCUGAUAACUGGCAAAACAAGGUUGCGAGUAAAUUGUGUUGGAGUUUUUGAUGUUUUAACAUUUGAUAACAGUCAGAAUAAUAAUCCAUUGGCAUUAAUGGCACAGUACCAGCAAGCAGAUCUGAUAUCAUUAGGAAAAGUUGUGUUGGCUUUGGCUUGCAACUCUUUGGCAGGAAUUCAGCGAGAGAAUUUACAGAAAGCCAUGGAACUGGUGACAAUCAACUACUCCUCUGACCUGAAGAAUCUGAUUCUGUAUUUGUUGACUGACCAAAACAGGAUGCGAAGUGUAAAUGACAUCAUGCCCAUGAUUGGUGCUCGAUUUUAUACUCAGUUGGAUGCUGCUCAAAUGAGAAAUGAUGUCAUAGAGGAAGACCUUGCAAAGGAGGUUCAAAAUGGAAGACUGUUUAGGCUUCUAGCAAAAUUGGGAACAAUCAAUGAGAGGCCGGAGUUUCAGAAGGAUCCUACCUGGUCGGAGACUGGAGACCGUUAUCUGUUGAAACUCUUUAGGGAUCAUCUUUUCCAUCAGGUGACAGAAGCGGGUGCCCCUUGGAUUGACCUCAGCCAUAUCAUUUCUUGUCUUAACAAGUUAGAUGCUGGCGUGCCAGAAAAAAUAAGCCUCAUUUCCAGAGACGAGAAGAGCGUACUUGUGGUGACUUACAGUGACUUAAAGCGCUGCUUCGAAAACACUUUCCAGGAACUGAUUGCAGCUGCGAAUGGGCAGUUGUAGUAUUUGCUGAAGAAGCACGCAGGACACGGCUGAGGACCUUACCCGAUAGCAAAUUGCACUCCAGCUGAACUGGUCUCAUCCUCUCCUUCCACAUUUGGGAAACCCGACAGGAGAUGAGCAGGCUGCUUGCACUUCAGUCAGGUACACUGCUACCCGAGAGGAAGAAUGUCCCACUUAGCCUAGAGCUGUGGCUGCCACGGGGGCCGAUCUGUGAAGAAUACUUUGGAUCAAGGAGCGCCAUCAGGUGAAUGGCGUUCCGGCUGUUGUGUUUUUCCCCUUGUGUAUGCACUAAUUUUAAUUUUUUAAAGACUUUUUUCUGAUCUUGGAACUUUUGCCACAUUGUACACUUACUUACUAAGGGAAACUGUUUGCCAGGACAUUUUUGGGAAACAACGAUGGGCAGCAUUUUUGUCACUGAGGGUUGCGGCAUCGGCUCUUUGGGGGAUGGGUUGCCCUGACCGACGUAAUGGACCAGGUAAAUGGUUUCACAGAAGCACCGUGUGGUGUAUAAUCCUUGUAAGAGUAUUGGGUGCAAGCUCUGUCUGCCACCGCUGUUAGUUCAAGUGGAGAUUUUGGGGUUUUUGUUUUGUUUUGUUUUUAAGAACAGACAAAAGAGAGGCCAGUGGAUUGUGGGAUACAAACUCCCCUAUUAGUAGACUUAAAUCCUUUAUGACUAAGGAUUGGAUACACAGGAACUUACACACAGGAGCACACAGAGCUCUGGGCUCCAGGUUCAUCCAGAGUCUUUUCUUAAAAAGGUGUUUCCCUGCUCGUCAGACAUACUUAACAUUUAUGCAACUUUUUUUUUUUUUUUUAAUGGGAAAAAAGGUAAAUUGCGUUAGAGGCCUGAAGUUCAGGAGUAUAUUGCUUUAGAUUAUUUCCAGUUUGCUUUUUUUGUAUAAAGUUCUGUUCUUGGAACCACAGCUUUAUUAUGGUACUUUACACUGGAUACAGACACAGAGACGCUGUUCGGAAGGUGAACGAAACACAGCAGUGGUCUGGCAUCGAGAGCUUUCUGAAGUUUUACAGCCUGAAUCUGGAGGGAUAACAAUCUGCUGUGCCUUUGCAGUCACUGCUUAGCCCAAAGUAAUAGUACUUUUGAUAAUAACUUCACUAUGUGGGAUAUUCCUGAAUAAGUCAAUCUCAAAAGUUUGGAAUUUUCCUCCUCUUAACUUUCUUAAUAUUCGGACGUGCAGUUGUUGCCAAACUUGGGUAUUCGUGGAAUUUCUAGUUAAUGACACACCUACUCUUUGAUACUGAAGACUGCCAAAUACAUAGGAGUUUUCUUUCACAAAAACACAGUAAUGAAGACUCUGUCUCCUUUCCCAGCACUGAAUGUUUUACUAGCACUGGGUGCUCACCAUGCAACUAUGAAGAAAACGUGGAAACUCAGAAGGUCAGGAAAGACUUCCAAGCGCUUGCAACUGAUGUUACGGUCUUCAAUUUUAAUAAUUGCUCAUAUUUGUAGUUUUCAGAGAAGUUUUUAAUAUUUCUCUGUCCACUUUUUAUAAGCUUUAAAAUGAUUUUCUCUGCCUUGAGAUUUGCAUCAAGAAAAAAACACCUCUCUUCACCUGAAAGCUUUGAAGACUACAGACAUGCUUUACACAUUUUAACAAGUGUGUCUGAGUCCACGUUUGGUAGCAUCAGUUGUUGAGUUCAAAAGAAAAUCAAUUAUUGCAUUUGAUCUGGAUGGAUUUUACGAGAACAUAAUGUUCACUGUUCAAAGGAUGAUUAACAUUUGCCACCAUAAUGUUCUUUUUUUAUGUAAAAGGAACAAGAACUUGGAGACAUUAACAUGCAAAAGUCUUUUAUCAUUAGCUCAUGUAUUUGAGGAAGAGCAGCUGUCUUUUUAUAUGUUUUUUGACAAAUCAUAUUGUGAUUCUUUUGUACAAAAAAGAACUACUUGUAUUCUAGAAGAAAUAUGAAAUGCUUAAUUUAUAAGCGGGCUGGAGAUUUUUUCCAAUAUUGUUUUCUUUGAAAAUGAAAGGGGAUCAUCUAUUUUAGUUUUGGGGUCUGGGAACUUUUUGAAAAUUUAAUUUGUGGACCAAUGUUUUGUGAAAGCUAAUAAGGAAGGGCAGGGGUAAAAUAGGGCUUGAAUUUCUCAUCCUGUAUCGACCAGCAAACUUCCCUCUGCAAGGCAGGUUCAAAUCACAAACCCAAGAAUGUUUGCAUCCUAAGUGCUAGUUUGCUUCAGCCCCUAGUAACCUCAGGACUUGGCUUGAAUAUAAAGGUGGACAGCUGAUCUGUUUUCAUGAGUAAAUAUUGUCGGCCAGAAAACAGUUGGUGUCAGGUAAUACAUCUUUUUUUUAAGCUUUGUUUUAUAUUUAUUUUUCAUUUAGUUUUUAUUGGGAAUGGUUUCCAGUAGAACUCUUAUUAGUUCUGCUUAGGUGUUUUUUGGGGGAGCCCUCUUUUCCAUAGUGUAAUUCCACUUAAGAGGUUGUCUAAAAGGUAGUCUUUUUAAUUCAUAGGAAGAUUGUAAUAUCUGAGAGUAGUCAAAUUAAGGAUACAAACUUCCCACACCUUCCUGUUAUGACAGAUCAAAGCACAGAAAGGACAACCCUUGAAAUCAUGUAACGUUGGUCAUUUCAAUUUUUUGUACCUAUUUUAAAUUCUGUUAGUGUAUUUACUUCAUUGUAAAUAUUUUUGAGGGUACCUUUGUAUUUUGCUUUUGACCUUGGUUCUGUGGUUUGGAUGUCAACAACUUCCCUAAAAGCACCAGUAUGUUAAGUUCUAAUGUCAUGACCCCAAUAUGGGUUAUUCACCUUUAAUCCUGUUUUCAGUCUCUAUGUGUACAGCAAUAUUUUUAAUAAAGAAUUACAGAGAAGUUUGUCCUUUUGGGGGGUACCAGUUCAUUUCACAAGGUUAAGUUUGUCUUAUGUCCAGGAUUUAAAAGGCCGAACAUUUCCUGUGUGUUUGGAGGAAUCGUUGGUGGCAGGUUUAUUCAUUAGUUUACCGGAUAUCUGCUAAAUGCCUACUUGGAUCUAUUUUGGGUGCUGAGAAUGCAGAUACCUGUACUUGUUAUUUAUGAAGUACAUAGUUCUACCCAAACAUUUCUAUAUAACACAUGGCUUACAGUGUAGUUUAGGAAGAAGAUAUGGCUAGCCUCUGAUUCAGUACUUGGGUAAUUUACUAUACAGGUGAAGAGUACCCUUCCCGCCAAGUCCUCCGGAAACAUUAUUCAGACUAUGAGGUAGGUUCGUUUUUGGUUUGUUUUUUUUUCUUUUUUUAAAUAUUUUUUUUUAAUGUUUGUUUAUUUUUGAGAGCGAGACAGACAGACAAGAGUGCUAGCGGGAGAGGGGCAGAGAGAGAGAGGGAGACGCAGAAUCUGAAACAGGCUCCAGGCCUGGCCUGAGCACAGAGCCUGACCCCGGGCUCAAACUCAGGAAUAGCAUAGCGAGAGCGCGACCUGAGCCGAAGCUGGACGCUUAACCCACUGAGCCACCCAGGCACCCCGAAGGUAGAUUUUUUUUUUAAUGGCAGAAACAUUCAUACUUAUUGAAUCUGAGUACUUAGUGUUUAUUGUGGUUAUUUCCUGUACUGUAUUGAAGUGAAAAGUUGAAAAACAGAAUAGAAAGUGAUAAGGGACUGGAGACCUAAUUGAGGGGUACUUAAAGAGGAAGGAGGGUUUAUUUUUAGCUGCAGGAACUAGUGAGUUGCUUUUAGAAAUUCGGAGAAGAGCGAGAAUAAGUGUAGAAGGGUCUUGAAAAAAAAAAAAAAAAAAAAAAAACCCAGUGGAUCCGGUGGCAAAUCAAAAUGACCACUGUAGGUUCAUGGGAAAGAAGGGAGACUAGUCUGCCUCGGAUGGAGGAUGUUUUGGGGGGAUCUUUCUUUUAGAUUUAGAUUUCUUGAGGGAAAACAUGAAACACAUUAAAAUAUUGUGUAAGCUAGGCCAGUGUUACAUCUGUUCAAUGGGGAUAAAAUGGCUCUGUUGUUUUCACGGCCUGUGCUCUGAAUGGUCAAAAACAGGUGUUUCCCCUUUCCUUCUACCUUUCGCAGGUGCACAGUUCGGGCUAUGUCUGUAAAAUGUCCUUCUGUACGAGUUUGGGGCAAGAGGGGCAGUGAAGAAAGACCUUUAAAACUCAUGUCCUUAAAAUUCGUUAAAAACAGUAUGCAUGGUGGUUAAGAAACCGGCUUGCCAGAACAAGAUUCUGACAUCCCACUCAGUGCAAUGAAUGCAUUGGAUUCGCUCAUUCAUGAAAUAUUUACCAAAUGCCUGUUCUGUGGCAGGCACUGCCCUAGAGGAAUCAACAGAACAACUCUAACCAUGACAGACAGAUCUUUCGGUUCCUACAGAGCUUCCAUUCUAGCAGGAAGAAGACAGAGUACGUGUAGAACGUUAAGAGGUAACAAUGGCUAUGGAAAGAGAGUAGAGUAGAGUCAAGGACGUGGGUAGGGUUGCCAGAUUUAGCGCACAAAAAUACAGAACACGGAGCUGGAUUUGAAUUUCAGGUAAACCACGGGUCGCUUCUUUUUUAGCGUUAAGGGGGUCUCAAGUAUUACAUGGGACAUGCUUGUCUUAAAAAGUUACUUGUGUGAAAUUCAAAUUUAAUUGGUUAUCCUGUGUGUGUUUAAUCUUGCAACUCUCGAUGUGGGGAAUGUGGUGGUGCUAGAAUUUCAGAUCGGAUGAUCUGGGUAGUAGGUCUUAUGGAGAAGGUGGUAUUUGAGCAAGGAGCCAGCCAGGUGGAUAUGGGAAGGAGAAGAAUUGCAGGUCAGACAAUGUGCCAGGCAUAUCUGAGGAAUGGCAAGGAGGCCAAUGUGACUAGAGUAAGAGUAAGGGCCAAUGGGACUAGGUGGGAAGUGAAAUCAGGUAACGGGGAAGGGGGUAGUGCUUUGUAGAGCAUCGUAAGACCAUGUUGGUGCUUACAUGGAAAAGAGAAGAAAGGUUGUGAGGAGAAUAACCUGGUACAAUUAAAAAGGAUCACUUUGGUUACUAGUUAGGAAGCUCUCGUGAUCUUUCAAGUGAAAGAUGAUGGGGGUUUGGACUCGGGUGGCAGAGGUGGCACGAAGUGACUGGAUUCUGAAUAUAUUUAACUUCAUUUAUUAUUCUUUUUUAAAAUGUUUAUUUUUUCGGAGAAAGAGUGCAAGCGGGGCAGGGACGGUGGCGGGGAGGGGCUGUGCGACGCAGAAUCCGAAGUGGGCUCCAGGCUCUGAGCUGUCAGCACAGAGCCCACACGGGGCUCGAACUCACGGACUGUGAGAUCAUGACCCGAGCCGAAGUCGGACGCUCAACCGACUGAGCCACCCAGGCGCCCCUUUUUUUAUUCUUUAAGUUUAUUUAUUUAUUUUUAGAGAGCGGGUCAGCAGGGGAGAAGCAGAGAGGAGGAGACAGAGAAUCCCAAGCAGGCUCCAUCCUGUCAGCACAGAGCUGAACACGGGGCUCGAUGUCACAAAUUGAAAUCAACACCUGAGCCGAAAUCAAGAGUGGGACGCUUAACCGACUGAGCCACCCACGUGCCUGAUUCUGAAUGUGUUUUAAAGACUGAGCCAAAAGGAUGUCCCAGUUAUUGGAUAUGGAGUGAAAAAAGAAGUCAGAGUCACUGUUCCGAUUUUGACCCUCUGCUGGGCAGGACGGAGGAUUCUAUUAAAUUGGAAGAGAGCGUUCUAGAAAAGGGUGUGUUUGGAGGGUGGGCAAGAAGGACACAGGAGCGAGGAAAGACAAUUGGGAGUUUGGUCUGACCUGUUCAGUUUAAGAUGUUUACUACGCAUUUGUUGUGGCUGCUGGCUGUUUUUAAUGAGUGGCUCCAGACUUAAUGGCCUAACACAACAACCGUUUUGUUGUUCUCAGGAAUUCUGUGGGUUAGGAGUUUGGACAGGGCACAGCUGGGAUGGCUUAUCUCUAUUCCAUUGUGUUUGGGGCCUCUGCUGGGAAAAUUUCAGUGGUUGGGGGCUGAAAUCAUUCCGAUCUGGCUGGCACCCAGACUGAAUGACUUAAAGGCUGGGCUCAGCCGGCGACUGUCCGUGGAAGCACCUACACGUGGGCCCACCAUGUGGCUCAGGCUUCUCCAGUCACGGCCACUGGGUCUCUAGCGGGAGCUUUUGGAGAAUGAGUGUACCAGGAGCCUCGGGUGGAAAGGGCAUGAUCUUUUCUGACUUGGCCUCGGGGCCAUGCAGUGUCACUUCUGCCACAUUCUGUUGAUCGCAAGUGAGUCACAAAGGCUUGUCUGAUUCUAGGGGAGAAGAAUUCGAUGGGGAAGUGGCAAGAGCAUGUUGCCAAAGGUCAUGUGGGAUGGGAGAUUGUGGUCGCCACUAUUUUUGGAAAAUACGGUCUGCCGCAGCCUAAGAGAUGCUCAAUUUAAUAUUGGCAUACAAGUGAGUUUGGAGUCUGGGGGAGAGAUCUGCUUUGCACGUGUAGUUUGCAAGUCAUUAUACAGAUGUCAUUUAAAGCCCUGAACUUGGUUGAGAUCAUGAAGGGAGUUAGCAUAACCGGAGAGGAGAAGAGGUCCAAGGACAGAGCCCUGGGGGAGUUGGAACAGUCAGUGCUCAAAGGUCAGAGAAGAGAGAAGAGAAGUUAAGAGGGAUGGAAAUGACCAGUGAAAUAGGAAGAAAAAUGUUUGAUGUCCUGGAAUCAAAGUAAAAAAGGUAUUUUCAAGAAUAAGGGUCAAAUUGAUGAGUCAACAAAGAUUGAGACUGAAAAUUGGCUGUUGCAUUUAGCAAUUUGCAGGUCACUCGUCACUGGCAACCUUAUCAAAAGCGGUUUCAGUGAGUGACACUGAAAGCCAGGUUUGAGUGGGUUUCAGAGUACUUGAGGGGGUGAACUCGGAAAUGGAGACUGACUACAUCAAGGAAUUUUGCUGUAAAGAACAAAGAAAUGGGGCGGUGGCUGAAGAGGCAAGUGGGGAUGAAAGGUUUUGUUUGUCGGUUUUUGUAACAUGGGAGGGGUAAGAGCAUGUUUGUGUGAUCUGAUGGGAGAGGGACACACUGAUGGGGGGUGAGGGAGCGGUGAAUUGCUGGAGCUGUGUCCUUGAGUACAGGGAGGAAUCAGGCGUGCUGGGACAGGUUUUGGAUGGACCCUCCAGAAAGGAAGGCAGAGCAUGUGGCUACAGGUGCAGGCCGGUGGUAGAUGUGAUGGUGAGAUUUUGAAGUGCUCUUUGGAUUACUUCAUUCAGUCUCCCCAUCGAUGUGGGCAUAACUAAUAGUACCAAUCACAUUGGAUUGCUUUGGAAAUUGAGUUUUAUUCCUCAAAGCACUUAGACUAGCUGCUGGCACGUGAUGUGGAUAUAUUUUCGUCUGAGAGGAAGCCCAUACUCUCUUAAAUUGGUCAUCUGUGAAUACUGUGGCAUUAAAUGUUUUUUCCUUUUAAUAAUCUUGUAUCGAAGAAUAGUACACACAUACAAGCUUGCAGAUAAGUUCAUAGUUCCAUGAAUUAUCACAAAGUGAACACACCUGUGUACCACACCCAGCUCAAGGAAUAGGGUAUUUGUGGCCUCUGGUUGUUUUGGUUUUGUGUUUUUCUCCCUUAAAAUAUCCUUCGUUGAGAAAAUAGAAGGUUAGUCAUCCCUGCGUUGGAACCCAGGAUAUUUUUGUAAAAUUUCCUGGCCUGUGAAACCCAGAAGUCUGGUAGUAUGUUUAACACUGACGAGUCCGAUAAACCUUACUGGGAGAUCCUUCUGCUGGAGAAAAGGGGAAAAAAACAAUUCCCAAAUGUCCUGUAAGUUUCCAGAGUCAUGAGAAAAUUUCUGAACCAAUUCCUCGAGCAUUCUUCGAAUCAUGUGCUUAAAUGAGUGACUUUACUCUUAUGUUAUGAAAACCGAUACUGUUUCUAAAGGAUUUCUGAUUCACGAAGAUAAAACGCCGUGUGCCCUCUUCGGUUAACCACAAAUUUACCAGGGGGAGUCGUUUUUUCUUUUUCUUGCCUUUGUCCCCAAAAAAGUAGACCUGCUUUCCCACAUAUGUCUCCAAUCUAGUUUCUGCGUGAUGUUUUCAGGAAGGUGACGGUAUGACCACUUACGAGGACAAUUUGUUGGUCACUUACUCCAUGUCUGUCCGUGAUGAUUGUGUCGACGACGUAAUUCACAGAAAACAGUAUGUGGCUAGUGUACUUUUCUUAGGGAAGCUCUCGUGUCUCAGGCUUCUGCCUAAUUAUUCUGUAUGGUUUCCUGCGUACCACCUCUAAUAUACACACAGACGCGCGCGCACACACAUCCUGUAAUUAUGGUAAUCGUUUCUUAGCUGAAAAUUAGUGUUGGGGAAAACCCGCCUCUUCUUUCAUUGAGGGUACCUCCAUCUGCAGCCAGUGCUUGUACUCGGUCUGUACAUUUCACUUCUAAUUGUAUUCAUUUUAGUGUUUUGUUUUCUGGGCGAUGUGCCUGGUUUGUGGUUUUGAUUUACUGUUUACAGCACCCUGAUGGUUUAGAGCAGCAUCUUGUGGUACUGAGAGAGGACUCUGCCCCUCUCUUCAGAGGUCUUGCUGGAUUUUCCUUGUGCUGUGUUUCACUGCUGGUAUUUAAGGAGAUGCCCCAGGACACCGGCCCUCCACCCCCAAGGAAAAACCUGUGACCCCCCCCCCCUUUUUUUCCUCACGUAUAAGCAAGUUGGAGAAAACAGGUAGAUGUUUUCAGAAGUUAAUUUUAUUAUAUGAAGAUAGCAUACAAAAUACAUUCAUGGUGACUAGAGAUGUAGGACCAAAUUAAGUCUUACUUAUAUCUGCAGCAUAUAUUCUUGUUUGUAUAAAAGUAACUUUAAAAUUCCAGUUUCCUUAAAUAGUCACGCACAACACACACACACGUAUAUACACAUACAGUUACUACCACUGUCAGUCCAAGUUGCGCUCCUUUUGCAAUGAAAAGGGACUGGCAAGUAUCUGUUCGUGUUUGACAUUCUUUACGGGCUGGGAAACCAGGCACAGCUAGAAGACCUACGUAACAUUUUUUUCAGGGUUUGGACAAAUUUGUUUCACGAGCUAAAACCAAGGUCUGAGCAUCGCUUCUUAGACUUAACUAGAUACAGACUUCCAUAUGGUUUCAGUCCCGUUCCACCCACACUGUUACACAUACAUGCUCUCACAAAUCCUGAAAGGACUGUGCCAACUAUGUUUGUCAUAAAUGCCAAAUGGUUCUAAUAAUACCAUGGGUUAAGGAGUGUUUCAGUUUUUAGUGUUUAACAUUCAGUGCUGGUUAAAGAACCAGUCUGUGGCAAGCACAUUGCAACUGGGUGGACUCAUGACUGCAAGCUUCCGUUUUCCUUUCUGUGUUAACACUCUAGAUGGAACCGUCUUGACCAAUGGACUCACGUAGGCUCUAAACCUGAGUCUUUGAAGCAGCUGAAUUAACAUAAAUUCUGAGGAUUUUUCUUCUUUUGGAAAGAUGGUAUCACUGAGGUCUUAGAACAAUUAAGAAUUAAUUAGGUUAUCAAAAUCAAGAUAUUGUACGUAUAGUUAAGGUUUUUGUUUUCACUCAUUGCUGGAUCCUUAUCGGAUAUGAAAAAUCGGCAAAGCUGAUUGAGGUCUUCUUUUCUUUUCCCUGUUGAACCUCCUUCUGGUUACCUCAUUGAUACUAUCACCGACUGUCACAGGUGGUUUUUGUGCACAUGAAGACGAGGAAGAACAAAGCUUUUCCCCUCUUCUGGCCCUGGCCUGAUUUUGUCUGGACUGGGGUCCUGGUGGAGAGGCCUGCCUCACUUCUCUGCUGGCCAGACGCUUCUCCAGCAGAACCCCCACCGGAGCACCUGCUUCCUUCCUUUUGGGGUGUGCUGACUGUCCUGUCUCUUUAGACUAAGAACCUUGACACAGGAAUGUGACACACAGGGAAGGAAGUAAAGAUUCUCCUAUUAUAUUUCAGGUUCUAGAGUUAAGUUACUUGCCUAAAGGGAAGCACACUUCGUCUCUACCAGAAGCAGCAAUUCACUGUUAACCUGUCCAGCUUUGACUGGCUUUAGAAGGUACAUACGUCCUAAAUACACAGCAUCAGAGCCUGCUGAGAGUUCCAGGGUCUUUAAACCCUGAAGAGUAGGCACCCUUUUGUACCCUGUCUCCCUAUUUCCAUCAUUCUCAGACCCAAGGCAAGGGCCAAAGCAGAUGAAGAGAGGCUUUUCUCCUAUCGAUGGCUCAAUAACUAAUAUCCUGAGUCCCAAUUCUAAAAGUAUCUUGCAUAAAUUACAUAUCACCUUUUUUCUCCAGGAGCAUAAAGUGCUUAAUAAACAUUGGUUAAUACUCUUCCACAUCUUUCCAGUAGACCAGCAUGAGAUUGUAGAAUCCCUAUUAAAAAGGAAACAUGAUUGGCUUCCUCUCCUUUGGGCCCCAACUGUUCCCGCGAGUUGGUUUGGGUGGUAAAGAGAUGGGGUUUUUACUGUGCUCAUCCUGCUUUCGCUCCACCUAUCCUGGUUUUGGUACAGAGGAAACCCUCCGCAGGACUCUUUGUUUUCAUCCUCCUCAGCUUCCGUUUAUAACUAACUGGACAAAACAGGUUAGUGUAAAAAAAAAAAAAAAAAAAAGUGUCUUGAUUAUAUAUUAAUACUCAAAAUAGAAUCUGACAACAUUUUUUAAAAUGUGGCUUAAAGCCCCACAGGUAACCCUAACAGACCAAACCCGUUCCAGUGAGCUUACUCUGAGCAAUCUGCUAAGUGCAAGGCCAUGGUGCCCGUGGAGCCAGCCGAGCUCAGGGUGAGUUUUCAGUGUAUAUUGCCAGAGGGGCCUGCAGUCCGGGCUCAGAUCUGAGCACCACGCUCCGUGCUAGAAAUUUUAAAAUGUGCCAUAUGUGGGAAUGGGCAUAGAUCCAGUCCCAUAGCUAACGUUUUAAAAUUUGUAGUUGCCAAAAAGAAAAAAAUUGCUUGUCCUUUACUUGCCUGCUGGAAUCCAGAAAAUGUCCCCUCGUGUCUCUGUCCUGUCUGCUCCCCAAGGUGGGUUCUCAGUGUGGACCGGGUUUGGUCCGGGUCCGGAAGCCAUUGCAGUGUCAUGGGGGACAGCCCUCACCUACUCCCUUCCCAUGCAGGACGGCGCCAAUUCUCCCCAGUGCUUUUGUCCUCCUUGCUCGCUUCUUCCUUUCUCCCUUCUCCUCCUCCUUCCCCGGAAGUUGCAUCUGCUAGAGGACCCCAGAGACACUGCGCGGGCCGGCUUACGGCUCGUUGCCUCCCGGUUCCAGGGUGCUGGUGGCUGGCCCCGUGGAGUCCAUGCUGCCUCGCAUGAUCGGUGCAUCUCCUGAAUCACUGAACGCCCUGCGGUCUCGGGGGCAGGAGCAGGUAAGUCACUGGGCUUGGGAAUAAGGGUCUCUCUAACACACUGAAUUAACGUGAGGAUUUACCAGUGGUGUUCUUUACUUAUCACUAUUACUCUAUCUGGGGUUACAUUCUUGUUAGUCAAAAAGAAAAAGAAGCACUUAUUAAAAAAAAAUCACAAAAGGCAGCUUGCUCCUGUGGAAAGGUAAAGGUGUACACGUAUGUAUGUGUCCUACUGGCAAAAGCUAGUUUUCAGGGGGUAUAAAUACUCGCGUGGUUCUAGAAAUAAGGCUACGUGUCGAACUUUUAGACAGGCGGGGUGGAAUAUAGGACCACCGAGUUGUAGUCUGGGGGAGGAGAACAGGACGAAAUCUUCUUCUCCAGCUCUGAGUUGUCGUAUGUGAACCUGCGCCUGCCUUUGCUGGUGUGCCCACACCUGGGAUGGCAGACAGUAGGCCGCAUGAGGUCGGAAAGCCCCGACUCCUUACUUUUACUGGUUACUCUCAAGCUAAAGAAAGGAAAGAAAAGAAAACAAAUGCACAAAAUUGAUUUCUUGGAAACAAACGCUGAUGUCCGUCCGCUCUCUCCCGUCGGGUCAUUUGCUCACGGCUGUUCUACAGCUGACGGUUAUUGAGCCCCAUCCCCACCUCCGGGCAGGUGCCCUCUGUCCUAAAGCUGCACGCUGCCCCUCUACUCCCAGCUCGGUGGCACCCGGCAGAAUGACGUCUUCCACUGGCCAGGGGGGCGGCAGACUGUGUGACCAGAUACCGCACAUCCGUCAUCUCAGGUGGAAAAUGCCUCCAGGACACUCAUGGCCCUCCCCUGUCCUUAGACCAGUUAGCUACCAUCGUGGGCUGAAAAAUGCUCCCGCCUCCAGAAUCCCUGGAACCUGUGACUGGCACUUGAGAUGGCAGAAGACUGAAUAUUCUCUUCCGGGGUGAGAGAGGUGGUGGAGCUGAGGAUCUGCGGAAGAGGAACUUAGCCUGCAUUAUCCAGGCGGACCCUGAGCACAACCACAUGUGUCCUUGUAAGAGAGGGUGAUGGAGAUGCACAGCCACACGCAGAAGGCGGGGGGGGGGGGGGGGGGGGGGGGGGGGUGGAGCAGAGACACGUGGCCAUGAGCCACGGAAUGCCCAGAGACACCAGGAGCUGGAAAAAGUGAGGAAUGGAUGCUCCCUCGGCCUUCCAGAGGGAUCGUGGCUCUGCCCGUACCUUGAUUUGGGGCUUCUGGCCUCCAGAACUACAAGAGAGUACGUUUCUCUCUCUUUAAGCCACCAAGUUUGUGAUCGCGUGUUACAACAGCAUCAAGAAAUGAAUAGAGCUUCAUACAAAAAGGUUAGUGCGGUUGUCUCCCCGUCAUGUUUGUGUUCUAGAAAACUUUUAAGUUACGGGACUCUAUGUCACUAGCAAGGCUCAAAGGAGAAACUUGCUUCUGGUUCUGUAUUUUGCAUCCAGCAUAAGAUAGAUAAACAAGAAAGAAAAGCUUGUCUUGUCCAUUCAUGUUUGUUUGUUGAGAGAGGAUAUGCAAGUAAGCCUGCAGGGGAGAGAGGGUGGGGGCAGCGGGAGCAGCAGGGGCUCAUCGAAGCAGGACUUGAGUUCACCCGAAGCGGGACUCAAACUUACGAACCGUAAGAUCAUGACCUGAGCCAAAGUCCGAUGCUUCCCCCACUGAGCCACCCGGGAGCCCUCACGUUUGUUUCUUAAUAGCUGGGAUGAGAAUGAGGAAACCUGAUGCGCCACCACAGUUAGGUUGGUUCUGGACGAACACGUCCAGCAUUUUCUUUUUAAAAAUUUUUUUAUUUUGAGAGAGACGGAGAGACAGAAGCCCAAGCAGGCUCCGUGCUGUCCGAUUCAGGGUUUGAACUCACAAACCACGAGAUCAUGCCCUGAGCCGAAACCCAGAGUUGGAUGCUGAAGCGACUGAGCCACCCAGGCUCCCCAACAUGCAUUAUCUAUAUUUUUAAUCUCUGGAGUGUGCAAUCGUUUUCCUUCACAAAGAUCUAGGUAAGUGUUCCAAAGUAGAAAACAAAAGGUUGUGGUAUCCUGCUUCCUUUCCUCCUGUGUAUACUUAUUCUUUGUGAGGGUCCCCUAAUCUGUUACCCUCUGAGGGGACUCCACUCUGGGAUCAUCAUUGUGCUUAUGUUACCAGGAAACUAUGCAGAUGUUUGCCUGGCCAUGUUCCUACCCUUUGGAUUUAUAUCACUCAGAGAGGCAUUUGGAGCGAUCUUUUGACUUAGAUCAAGAUCAGCAAACUACAACCUGUGGGCUGGUCACCUGCAUGCUUUGUUUUGUUUUUAAGCAGCUUUAUUGAGAUACAGUUCACUGUUUAAAGUGUCCAGCUGAGGGGCACCUGGGUUGCUCAGUCGGUUACGCGUCUAACUUCAUCUCAGGUCAAGAUCUCAUGGUUCGUGAGUUCGAGCCCUGUGUCGGGCUCUGUGCCGACAGCUCAGAGCCUGGAGCCUGCUUCCGAUUCUGUGUCUCCCUCUCUCUCCCCCUCCCCUCUUGCACUCUGUCUCUGUCUCUCAAAAAUAAACAUUAAAAAAAAUAAAGGGUCCAGCUGAAUGGUUUUUAGUAUAUUCAUAGAUGGUGCAACCAUCAACACAAUUGAUUUCAGGCCAUUGUCAUCCCCCAAAACCCAUACCCAUUAGCAUAGCCAAUUGCCCUUCUCCCACACUUCCCACCCCCCGCCCUAGACAACCACUGGUCUACUUUCUUUCCACAGAUCUGCCUGCGCCCGGCGUUUCAUGUGAAUGGAAGCCUACCGCAUGUGGUCGGCGGUGACUGGCUUCGUUCACUUAACAACGUUUUCAAGGUUUGUCCACGUUGUAGCAUGUACCAGUACCUUGUACUUUUUUAUUGGCAAAUAAUACUCGAUCGUAUGAGUCUACUGCAUUUUAUCCAGCAACUGAAGGACAUUUGGCUUGCUUUUACUUUGGGUCAUUAUGAACGAUGCUGCUACGAACAUUUGCGUACAAGUUUUUGCGUGAACGUUAAGUUUUCCUUCUGUUGGGUGGGUGUGUACCUAAGGAGGGCAACUGCUGAGUCACAGAGUAACUCUAAUUAACCUUUUUGAUUAAGAUCGGCCAGACCGUUUCCCCAAGUGGCCAGACCGUUUUACAUCCCCACCAGCAACGCACGAGACUUUCAUCACCUCCAACUUUUUGGUUCUAGCCAUCCUGGUGGGGGGUGAAGCUGAUCUGCAUUUUCCUGAUGACCCGUGACCUUAAGCAUCUUUUCUUGUGCUCACUGGCCACGGCUACCUGUUUUUGUAAAUACAGGUGAUUGGAACACAGCCACAACUCCUUGUUUAUACGUUGUUGAUGGCUGCUCUUACACUACAGUGGCAGGGUUGAGUAGCUGUUUUGUGUGUGGGUCCUGAAGAAAAGACGGUCAGGUUCUUGACUUUGGGGUAGACAGGGCAGGCGUUUGAACGCGGGAAGGAAGGAAUCCCUGAUGGAUAGUUUGCCUGUCCAGUGCUCUUCCCAGGCAGAGACUAGCACGGAGAAGCCGAAGUGACAGCAGGGCCAGUGGAAUAAAAAGCCGGAGCCUAAGUAAUUCCAACGCUACUUGCCGACGGCCACUGUAGGGAUGGAAUGCCAGGAUCCAACAGGAAACAAGCUUUCGUUUGGAAGGGUUGGCGUCUCAGGAUGGCAUGUCUUAGUACCGGAAAACAGGGCUGUGACGCUUCCUGUACAGAUUUUGCCAGCCGAGGCUGUAAUCGCAGGCCAGCUCCCCUCCCCGCCCCCACGAGCACGUCUCCAUCUGACUUAGGCACUGUUCACAGGUGGGCAUGUCAGGCUCCUUCCAACUGAGUCACUGUGCCUCACGCGUUUGGACUGCCUGUCCUGUUGGGAGUUUUCUGCAUGUUUUCACUUCUUAAAUCCCAGGCUUCCUUCUCUGCUCUGGUGCUCAUGGCCCUGAUUUUAUACCCUCUUUCUUGCCCUUCUGAGGGGGAAAACAGUGCUUUUCUGCAAUGCCUGGACACUGUAGUUCAGGGAGGCAAGUAGCCCUCAAAUGUCCCCAUUACAUUUUCCCCAGCAUCUUCCUUCACACCCCUCCAUCGAUUGAUCAUAGAAAAGACCCCCCCCCCCCCCCCCCCCGCCAACUUCCUUACUCAAUCUUCAGUGAGGCCUUGGGUUUGCUCUCAGCCCAGGUGAAGCGCUUCAGCAAGGGGGAGGCCAGCAGAGAGCCACUGUCCAUCUGGGGGCAAAUCUACAUUUUGUUGCAAGCAAUGCCUAUUAUUCCCAGUGACUUGGAGGCCCUGCUUCCCGAAGGGGAAGGAAAUGCAUUUAAACACAAGGGAAAACUACAAGUAACAGGAAGGCUGGCAGAGAUCUCCACCAUCUGGCUCUUCCUCGGGCAAGUUCACCUACUGACGGAGUUUCUCAGUCUGAAACCCUGUCACCAUCUGCAAGGCCCGAUUUCUAGGUGAGCGCUUCAUUGGUCGAAGGCUGAGCAACCCCCUGAAAGGGCUCAAGCAACUUUGACAGCUUCCCUCCUUCAUCUCUGACACAAUCAGCUACUGCGAAUGUGUUCGGUCUGACCUAGUUUUCUUGUCUUUAAAAAGAAAUGGGUGAUUCAUUUGUUGCAGCCUGUUGGGCUGGUCACGGAGAGGGAGCAGUGCCACCGACAUGUAACCCAUUACCACAAAUCGGGGCUGGUCACUGGACUUCUCGGCCUGUCACAGAUGGCUGUCAGUCUUUUCAGACUGGCCCAACCCUUAGCUAUGCCUCCCCUGGUCACCUGCCCAGUUUGGCUGCACUGAGGUCAAAGCUCUGGGGUUGUGCCUGUUGCAGAUGAAGACGCUAGAAGGCCCAUAGGAUAGUCUUAAACACCCUAAACAUAGUCCUAACUGCAUGGAAACACGGACGCAGUGUUAAAAUACCUGGGUCACAGACUCUAUUCUGCCACUUUCUAGGCACACAGUUUUGGCACGCUAUCUUCCAUGGAGCCUUAAGGGCCCCAUUUGUGUAACGGUAAUAAUAAUAUCUACCGUAUAGUAUUGUUUUGAGCAUUAAAGGAAUUGAUGCUUUGUACAAAGAGCCCAGCACAGUCCCAGACCACGCACAGCAUCAGUGCUGAAUGUGUAUGAUACACACGUAACCAUUAGUAGCGAUGUUUGAUUCAUAUGUGACUGUUGGCAUUGAUGUGGGAUGGUCAUUGGUAAUGACGUGUUGACACACGUAUAAUCGUUAGUACUGAAGAGCUGAUCCCCGCCCAGCACCCAGUGGAGACACCGAAUCCAUACAUUUUCCCUUGUCCCUUCUCCAAUUUUCCUCUACAGUAAUGAAUGGUAUGUUAGUGUAUCCAGUAAGAAAAACAAAUUAUUUUAUCUGAGGUCUCAUGAAAAAAAAAAAAAAAGUCUUUGGGGAAAAAAAAAGAUGUAAGAUUAUUCUAAAUAAGAGUCAAGAGGGGCACCUGGGUGGCUCAGUCGGUUAAGUGUCCGACUUCAGCUCAGGUCAUGAUCCCACAGUUCGUGGGUUCGAGCCCCGCGUCGGGCUCUGUGCCGACCGCUCAGAGCCUGGAGCCUGCUUCAGAGUCUGUGUCUCCCUUUCUCUCUGCCCCUCGCCUGCUCACACUCUGUCUCUCUCUCUCU